rnacentral:misc_RNA from 1 species
AACCUUCAACCCAACUUUUUGUGUUCAACAUAAGCUGUUGGUGUUUGGAUCAUGGGCGCUUUUGUCGGUUUGGUUAUCAGAUCGGCUCGCCUGGAAUGCAUGAGCAGUGUUGUCUUUCGACAUCUGGCUUGACUUGGCGUGAUAGGUUAUUUCGCUGAGGACAAUGUCUUGUGCAUUGGCCGAUUCGUUAGAUGAGGGCUUCUAAUGGUUAUGGGCUCGACCCUUAUAACUUCAUAC